AUUGAACGCUGGCGGCAGGCCUAACACAUGCAAGUCGAGCGGAAACGCAGGGAGCUUGCUCCCCGGCGUCGAGCGGCGGACGGGUGAGUAACACGUGGGUAUCUGCCCAUUAGUGGGGGACAACUCUGGGAAACUCGAACCAAUUCCGCGUUAUCCCUACGGGCGGCAUGAGGGAACCUUUUGGGCUUGCGUUGCUGGCUCUGCUCACGUCGGAUUAGCUUGUUGGUGAGGUAAAGGCUCACCAAGGCGACGAUCCGUAGCUGGUCUGAGAGGAUGAUCAGCCACACUGGGACUGAGACACGGCCCAGACUCCUACGGGAGGCAGCAGUGGGGAAUCUUGGACAAUGGGCGCAAGCCUGAUCCAGCCAUGCCGCGUGUGUGAAGAAGGCCUUCGGGUUGUAAAGCACUGUCAUCAGGGAGGAAGGAUUUGGCCGAAUAGGAUGAAGUACUUGACGUUACCUGCAGAAGAAGCACCGGCUAAUUACGUG
rnacentral:rRNA from 1 species